rnacentral:lncRNA from 1 species
CAGGCAGAGGAUUAGCCUAGUGAGCCAUGGUGCUGGCCCCACCUAUGUUCUUAACAUAAUUUAUUUAAGUCAUUUAAUUUUUAAUAACAAGUGUCACAACAUUUCUGAAAAUUUCAUCAUUGGCAUUCCCAGUCUGAUGUGAGCUUAUUCUAGCAUAUCACUGGCUGCCAGUCUCUUCUUGAUCAGUUUGUGAUGAUUUUACCUUGAUGCAGAGCUAUGGCGGAAAAGUUGAGCUACUUGCUGUGGAGAAAGAGUUCUAUUAAAGCUUUGGUUUGGUAACUUAAUAGUGGUUUGACCAUGAGUAGGGUAUUUAAUGUCUAAUCCUGUUGCCUCACAUGCAAAAUGAGAGUUAUCAGACUUACCUGAAAAGAUUAUUGUGGGAGACUGAAUGAGAGAAAACAGAACUUUGGCUGGCUACCAUUACCAUUACUAUUUUUUCUUGGCAGUGGUAGUAUUAAAAUCCACAGUAACCCAAAGAAAGCAAGCCUUUUUCUGGUGAGUGGAGUGAGAUUAUGAGAUCUUCCAUGGUCUUUGGUCCAUGGCUUACCUGUGUGGGAGACUCCAGGCUUUACAGAGAAGGGUGUGGUGUGGAGCCAGGCAGCAUGAAGGCUUGGGCACACCCGAUAAAAGAAGUCAGCACACAGGGGCCCUAGCUUUUCCAGGGUGAGGAUUCCUGACAUGCCCAUCCUCCAGAGAGGUGCUUGAGACAGAAUCACAUGGUCCCCCUUUGCAGACUGGCAAACUGAAGAUGAAAAGGUCACAACUUGCCCCAGGAUCACAGGAGCAGAGCUGGGAAAAAGAAAUGGCAAAAAUCUUCAGCGUGGCUUUGUGUUAAUGGAUUCACUCCCAUGCCCAGACCAGAAGGUGGAAUAUUUGCAUUCUAUAAAACUGUGGAAAAAGCUGCAGGACACUGAUCUGGAUAGCAAGAGACAGAAAAAUACAGCAGAUCACAGUGCUGAGGGUGGAACUCAGAAGUUUCAGAGCCUCAGGGUAAGGCCUAUCUUCAUUUAAUACCUGCUGUAACCACUGUAAUGAUUUCUCAGAUAUCCCACAAUAAGUCAGGUAUCUCACAAUAACACGGUGAGAAUGCACACACCCAGAGUUAGUGGAGAGAACAUUUACUUGGUCAAAUGUGUCAAUCAUAUGUGUUUACAUAAAUAUGAGGUAAAUCAGAGUCCUUCAUUGACCUAAUAACCUUAAUGGUAGUGUGGUCAGCUAAAGAAAUAGAGAAUAACUCAGCCAAUUUUAACACUUCAUUCUUUUGUUUUUCUUAUGUUUGCAGGGUUGGCAUUGUGUAGCAGUGGGUUAAGUUGCUGCCUGAGAUGCCUAUAUUCCAUGUGGGUGUCAGUUCUAGUCCCGGCUGCUCUACU